GGGCGCGGGGCUGGGAGUGGGUAGGUUGUCUGCCAGCCGUCCCUCGCCGCCCCUCUUCCUGUCUCCCCGCUUCCCUCAAUCCUGUAACCUGGGCCGAGCCGCCCUGUCCGGUAGGCCAGGCGCGUAGGUGUGGUCUGCAUUCUUUGCUGGUGAGCAGGACCCGCCCUGCAGGCCCGCUGUGACUGCCCGCUUGUCCUGCCUGCACGCCUGCUCCAGCCUUGGUCGGUGAGGGCUCCGUGGAUCAGAUACCUGGGAGCAGCAGUCUGCCAUGUACUGAUCUCUUUUGCCACAUUUACUUAGAACUAGUUUUCACUUUUUUGGGUCUCUAACUGAAGCUUCCCCUUUCCCCCCAUUUUUCCAUCACUGUCUUUCUUGGGCCACGUUUAGAUUUCAUAAUAGUAGUGGCUUGAAGGAAGUGGGGGAAGUGGGGGAAUUGGAACACUGGACCAAAUGUCUGAUCAGCUCAUCACAUUGUCCACAUGAAAUGGAUCGUCUUCCUCAGUUCAAAAUAAUCAAAUGAUAGAUGGAGAAUUCUGAAAGUUAGGAGCUACAACUAUUUGAAAUAAAACUCUAGUUACAUAAUAGAACCGUUCAAGAUAUUAUGAUCAGAUUUGUUCUAUUGAACCCAAAUUCCCAUUUUCUGAAAAUCAGAUCUGCUUGACAUUUACCUGGAAGGAUGCUUUUGAUAAAGGUUCACUUUUUGGAGGCUCUGUAAAACUGGCUCUUGCAAGCUUAGGAUAUGAAAAGAGCUGUGUGUUGUUCAAUUGUGCAGCCUUAGCUAGCCAAAUUGCAGCAGAAC
rnacentral:sRNA from 1 species